GGAAGUAAAAGUCGUGACAAGGGAAGCCGUAGGUGACCCUGCGGCUGGAUCAUUAUCGAGCUAAGCAAAAAACUCUAGUGCUUCGGCGCUAAAGUAGUGGCAGGAACUAUGUGCGGUGCGUUUGCUUGACGUACGACUGCACGCCACAGUGACCCAACGGCGAUCGGUUGGUGUCUGUCCGGUUCUGAGCAGCUGUUGCCUAAGUCCGUGGCUGCGUUGACGAAUCGGGGCACGCAUACGUCCUGCUAUUCGGCGGGGUAGCGGAUGCGAAGACUCAAUGAGCUCCACGCCUGGGAGCUGCCAACCAACCUUUUUUUCAACAAAUUUUUCUUAACUAAAGACAAAUAUCAGUCUUACCGGUGGAUCACUCGGUUCGU
rnacentral:misc_RNA from 1 species